rnacentral:lncRNA from 1 species
AGCGGUCUACGAGUUCUCCAGUUGUCAAACUGCCGCUGAGGGUUCUUGUCGCCUUAAAGGGGGCUCGAGGAAGAAUUCCUUCAACAACAGGGGUUUAAUAACGGAGACAACCGGUGAAGGCGUCCCUCUUGAGAACUUCGAAGUAGCUGAACGGGGCGACACCAGUAAAGGGGGUAGAGCUGUCGUCACAAGCCGUGGUGGGAUCCUUGAUAUCGUCGGGGUCGAGGGACUAGAAGCGGUUGGCGCCGAUGGUGGGGCAGUA